GACAGAGGGUGCAAACGUUGUUCGGAAUUACUGGGCGUAAAGCGAGUGUAGGCGGUUUGGGAAGUCGGAUGUGAAAGCCCCGGGCUCAACCCGGGAAGUGCACUCGAUACUGCCAGGCUAGAGUAUCGGAGAGGUUGGUGGAAUUCUCGGUGUAGAGGUGAAAUUCGUAGAUAUCGAGAGGAACACCGGUGGCGAAGGCGGCCAACUGGACGAAUACUGACGCUGAGACUCGAAAGCGUGGGGAGCAAACAGG
rnacentral:rRNA from 1 species